UACGUAGGGUGCGAGCGUUAAUCGGAAUUACUGGGCGUAAAGCGUGCGUAGGCGGUUCGUUAAGUGCGUCGUGAAAGCCCCGGGCUCAACCUGGGAAUGGCGAUGGAAACUGGCGGGCUGGAGUAUGGCAGAGGGGGGUGGAAUUCCGCGUGUAGCAGUGAAAUGCGUAGAGAUGCGGAGGAACACCGAUGGCGAAGGCAGCCUUCUGGGCCAAUACUGACGCUCAUGCACGAAAGCGUGGGGAGCAAACAGG
rnacentral:rRNA from 1 species